GAUGAACGCUGGCGGCGUGCCUAAUACAUGCAAGUCGAGCGAACAGAUGUGGAGCUUGCUCCUCUGACGUUAGCGGCGGACGGGUGAGUAACACGUGGAUAACCUACCUAUAAGCCGGGGAUAACUACGGGAAACCGGAGCUAAUACCGGAUAAUAUACUAAACCGCAUGGUACAGUAGUGAAAGACGCAUUUGCUGUACCAUGUAGAGGAAUCCCCUCCGCUUUAGCAGGUGGGUAAGGUAACGCCUUACCAAGGCACCGUUCAGUAGCCGACCUGGGAGGGGGAUCGGCCCCCUUGGACCGGGGACACGGCCCAGCCCCUUACGGGAGGCGCCGGUAGGGAAUCUUGGGCAUUGGGGCAAAGCCUGACGGGGCAACGCCGCGUGAGUGAUGAGGGUCUUCGGUCCGUAAAACUCUUUGAAUAGGGAGGAACAGAUGUGUAAGUAACUGUGCACGUCGUGACGGUACCUAAUCAGAAAGCCACGGCUAACUACGUG
rnacentral:rRNA from 1 species